GAGCGAAUUAUACAUCUAGGGGCAGCUUCUCCAGUGAAACCAAAUCUAGAAUUAAGAAGUACAUUUAUGAACAAUAUCCACUAAUAUAACACUAACUGAGGCCUGCUUGUAAACUCAAUAUAAAAAAUAACAUUUGAAUAAUUGAUGCUCUGAUAUGGAAAUGAGAAUAUUGCGGCCUGCAAGAUUAUUUUCACGUAUCCCGCCGUACCUGUGGUCCUGUAGCCCUCCCCCUCCCGUCCAGAAGACGUACCCCACGCCCCGCCGUUUCCCCACGCGCCGACACCCGCGCGUCCGCUUCUCAUCUCACCCAAGUUACGCUGGAUGCCUUGCUAAGUUUCUGGAUUCAUUCCUAACAAAUUACUCAUGAUGUAUAAAUAAAUUAACUGAACUGUCCUAUAGCUUUUGAAGGUUCAGUAAUCUCAACUCAAAAAAUUAAGUCCUAUACAAUCAACGGGAUUCAUGGGACAUAAGCUUGAGAAAAACAACCACACUUAUAAUUUAACUAUUCUUUUAUUUUAUACAAAAAUUCCGC